rnacentral:rRNA from 1 species
UCGCGAAUGGCUCAUACAACAGCCAUAGUUUAUUGGAUGUUUACGUUCCUACAAGGACACCUGCGGUAAUUCUGGAGCUAAUACUUGCGAAAUGCGACAACCUCACGGGAGUCGUGCAUUUAUUAGAUUAAACCAAUCGGUCCUUCGGGACCGCCAUUUGGUGAACUCUGAAUAACUUAGCUGAUCGCACAGUCUCGUACUGGCGACAAAUCUUUCAAGUGUCUGCCUUAUCAACUUUCGAUGGUAGUUUAUACGACUACCAUGGUUGUAACGGGUAACGGAGAAUAAGGGUUCGACUCCGGAGAGGGAGCGUGAGAAACGGCUACCACAUCCAAGGAAGGCAGCAGGCGCGCAAAUUACCCACUCGCAGAGCGCGGAGGUAGUGACGAAAAAUAACGAGGUGGCUCUCUAUGAGGUCCAUCAUCGGAAUGGGUACAAUUUAAAUCCUUUAACGAGGAUCUAUUGGAGCCCAUGUCUCCCCCGCACCCGCGGUAAUUCCAGC